CGUCUUCCACCAAGAACCCCAAGGAUUUGGAGUUCGAGGUCUCUCUCCCCGGCAAAGCGAGAGAGCAAGAUAGAGAGGCCAGAGCCCGACCUCAUCGCCUGCUGCCUGACUGCCGUCUGCCGGACUCCAAGAAAGCGGGGGUUGGCUUCUUGCGCGCGCGGGAGGGACAGGGUCUGUAGCGUCGUCCGGCAAAGGCGGGGGGAGGGCCCCGGCCUCGGCCGCUCAAGUCCGGCGACAUCCGUGGCCGCCGCCGACGCGGUCCUCUACCUCCUGGGGAGAGAGCCAGCAUUCAACUUCUACCAUGAGUCACACCUUGAUAUACAUGACAUCGAGAUAAAGAAGAUCCCGCAGGGUACCCUAAUCAGAGUAGUGCUCAAAGGCCUCGAACACAUCGAGUUUCAAGCCAAUGCUGAUGUUGCCGAUGAUGAAAACUUCCACCAUUUCAUUGCUCUAGACCUACUCACCAAAGAUGUAGGUGAGCUGAAAAUGCAAAUUACUGGCCGUGCAAACCCUGAUUUUGUUGAGACUGCCAAAGAGAAAAAGAAUGACGCUGUCAAGACUGUCGAACCGCAUGGGAGCGAUUAUGCUGAGGACGCCAUACCGCGUCGGAUGCAGCCAAACUCACCGAAGUGUCAAGUUCCGAUUCUGAUGAGAUCAGCAGAGCACAUAAGAAGCAGCUACUACAGAAGGCAAAGGCCACCGAAGUGCCAAAUACCACCGCAGUGCAUAGGGAGCAGCCUGUGCAGAGAGGGAGGGGGCAGAGGCGAGGGCGAGGGCGAGGAGGAGGAAGAGGAAAAGGGAGAAUCAGAGAAUGUAAGUUUGUCCAUGGGUAAGGAAUUGCAAAUAUCAUGAUGAGGAGUGCAGCUCAAUUUAGAGGUUGAGUAUGUGAAAGUAGAUUUUACAGGAUUUGCUAGAGCAAGUGAGUAACCUCAAUUGAUGGCUAUGGGAUUAACAUUUUUUGCUCUGCUUAAAUUUUGAUCGAUUUUAUCUGAUGUGGGUUAUAGAGUGUAUCUGAUGUGCUUGAGAAGAAUAGUUACUGCUUUUCCAUGGUAUACUUGGCAACUCAUGUGAAAGGGAUUUUGACAUGAACCACUGUGAUAUUAUUAAACAUUCUGCAUCUGUUAAAUUUGAAUGUAUGUUUAUGAUAGCUUUGCAAUUUCCCAGCUCC
rnacentral:lncRNA from 1 species